UAACUGUUUUACUUUGUUGUGGCUCAUGAGCAUUCAGAGUGGAACUACCAGGCUCAGAAACAGCUUCAUCCCUGAGGCUGUUAGACUGUUGAACUCAAGCC